GAAAACUCACCAGCAGCGACUAUUACAUGAAAGUCAGGCCGAUGACCUUACUAGAUUUUUAGAGAGGUGGUGCAUGGCCGUCGUCAGUUCGUACCGUAAGGCGUUCUCUUAAGUGAGAUAACGAACGAGACCCUCACCAAUAAUUGCUACUGCGUCGUCCGCGGCGUAGGCACAUUAUUGGGACCGCUGGCGCUAAGUCAGAGGAAGGAGAGGUCAACGGUAGGUCAGUAUGCCCCGAAUCUGCUGGGCUACACGCGCGCUACAAAGGGCGGGACAAUGGGCUCCGACACCGAAAGGUGAAGGCAAUCUCGAAACCCGUCCGUAGUUCGGAUUGAGGGUUGUAACUCACCCUCAUGAAGCUGGAUUCCGUAGUAAUCGCGAAUCAACAACUCGCGGUGAAUAUGCCCCUGCUCCUUGCACACACCGCCCGUCAAACCAUCCGAGUUGGGUUUCAGUGAGGUCGCCUCCCUUUGGGGUGUUCGAACUGGGAUUCAGCAAGGAAGGUUAAGUCGUAACAAGGUAGCCGU
rnacentral:rRNA from 1 species